CACCUCCUUUCUAAGGAGUAAUUAGAAAGACGUGAAGUUGACACCUAAAGUUUCCUGUUUAGUUUUGAGAGUCCGUUGGAAUCUCAAGAAAAAUGAUCUUUGAAAACUGAAUAACAGAAAAGAAAAAGAGAUAGACAAAGAAAUAAAUGUUAUCAACAUGAUCUUUUCGAAUAGUUGUAUAAAACUAGAUUUACAUCAAGUUAAACAAAAACAGUAACUUAAGCAAUUAAGUA
rnacentral:misc_RNA from 1 species